GACGAACGCUGGCGGCGUGCUUAACACAUGCAAGUCGAGCGGAAAGGCCCUUCGGGGUACUCGAGCGGCGAACGGGUGAGUAACACGUGAGUAACCUGCCCCUGACUCUGGGAUAAGCCCGGGAAACUGGGUCUAAUACCGGAUAUGAUCACCGAUCGCAUGGUCUGGUGGUGGAAAGUUUUUUCGGUCAGGGAUGGGCUCGCGGCCUAUCAGCUUGUUGGUGGGGUAGUGGCCUACCAAGGCGACGACGGGUAGCCGGCCUGAGAGGGCGACCGGCCACACUGGGACUGAGACACGGCCCAGACUCCUACGGGAGGCAGCAGUGGGGAAUAUUGCGCAAUGGGCGAAAGCCUGACGCAGCGACGCCGCGUGGGGGAUGACGGCCUUCGGGUUGUAAACCUCUUUCAGCAGGGACGAAGUUGACGUGUACCUGUAGAAGAAGCGCCGGCUAACUACGUGCCAGCCGCCGCCGUAACAC
rnacentral:rRNA from 1 species